rnacentral:rRNA from 1 species
UACGGGGGGGGCAAGCGUUGUUCGGAAUUACUGGGCGUAAAGGGCUCGUAGGCGGCCAACUAAGUCAGACGUGAAAUCCCCAGGCUCAACCUGGGAACUGCGUCUGAUACUGGAUGGCUUGAAUCCGGGAGAGGGAUGCGGAAUUCCAGGUGUAGCGGUGAAAUGCGUAGAUAUCUGGAGGAACACCGGUGGCGAAGGCGGCAUCCUGGACCGGUAUUGACGCUGAGGCGCGAAAGCCAGGGGGGCAAACGGG